rnacentral:tRNA from 1 species
GGGGAGAUGGCCGAAUGGGAUGGCAGCAGACUGUAAAUCUGCCCGCGCAAGCGAGAGUAGGUUCGAUUCCUUCUCUCCCCACCA